rnacentral:rRNA from 2 species
UCUGGUAUUGAUUGGUGCUUGCAUCAUGAAUUUACAUUUGAGUGAGUGGCGAACUGGUGAGUAACACGGUGGGAAACCUGCCCAGAAGCGGGGGAUAACACCUGGAAACAGAUGCUAAUACCGCAUAACAACUUGGACCGCAUGGUCCGAGUUUGAAAGAUGGCUUCGGCUAUCACUUUUGGAUGGUCCCGCGGCGUAUUAGCUAGAUGGUGNGGUAACGGCUCACCAUGGCAAUGAUACGUAGCCGACCUGAGAGGGUAAUCGGCCACAUUGGGACUGAGACACGGCCCAAACUCCUACGGGAGGCAGCAGUAGGGAAUCUUCCACAAUGGACGAAAGUCUGAUGGAGCAACGCCGCGUGAGUGAAGAAGGGUUUCGGCUCGUAAAACUCUGUUGUUAAAGAAGAACAUAUCUGAGAGUAACUGUUCAGGUAUUGACGGUAUUUAACCAGAAAGCCACGGCUAACUACGUGCCAGCAGCCGCGGUAAUACGUAGGUGGCAAGCGUUGUCCGGAUUUAUUGGGCGUAAAGCGAGCGCAGGCGGUUUUUUAAGUCUGAUGUGAAAGCCUUCGGCUCAACCGAAGAAGUGCAUCGGAAACUGGGAAACUUGAGUGCAGAA